rnacentral:lncRNA from 1 species
CUUCGGCCGCCGGCGACUGGAUCCGGAGGAACGUCGUCGCCUACUGGCCCAGCGUCUCCUUUCGAUACAUAGCUGUCGGAAACGAGCUGAUCCCCGGAUCGGAUCUGGCGCAGUACAUCCUCCCCGCCAUGCGCAACAUCUACAAUGCUUUGUCCUCGGCUGGCCUGCAAAACCAGAUCAAGGUCUCGACCGCGGUCGACACGGGCGUCCUCGGCACGUCCUACCCUCCCUCCGCCGGCGCCUUCUCCUCCGCCGCCCAGGCGUACCUGAGCCCCAUCGUGCAGUUCUUGGCGAGUAACGGAGCGCCGCUCCUGGUCAAUGUGUACCCUUAUUUUAGCUACACCGGCAACCCGGGACAGAUCUCGCUGCCCUACGCCCUGUUCACGGCCUCCGGCGUCGUCGUGCAGGAUGGGCGAUUCAGCUAUCAGAACCUGUUCGACGCCAUCGUCGACGCGGUCUUCGCGGCGCUGGAGAGAGUGGGAGGGGCGAACGUGGCGGUGGUGGUGUCGGAGAGCGGGUGGCCGUCGGCGGGCGGAGGAGCCGAAGCGAGCACCAGCAACGCGCGGACGUACAACCAGAACUUGAUCAGGCAUGUUGGCGGAGGAACGCCGAGGAGACCAGGGAAGGAGAUCGAGGCGUAC